GGUGGGAUAGAAGAACUGGCCGAGUCUCCUUCCACUCUGCCUCUCUCUCUCUCUCUCUCUCUCUCUCGCGCGCGCGCGCGAGGGCGCUAACUGGAUCCCGGCGUGGGUGGUCGCUGCGUGGAGUGAAGUGUUCAGGAGGGUCUGCGCAACGGAGCACCACGAGUGGUCGGAGAUCGUGGAAGGGUGGAGCAGCUAAAGAGCACGUCACUGGCCAGAGCCUGCUCCAGAACAGAGUCUCCCAGAGACGGAAGCCUUUGACCGCGAUAUAUACUCUCAUCGGACAGGGUGCGGUGCAAAGAACGUCUCCCUAAGUUUGCUGGACUUGAGGAGGAGGCCUGCAGAGACAAUGAGAGAGGUGGCUGCCAUCCGUCACCCCCACAGCCGAGCUCCCACACUUACUUUCGCGUGUCUCCGAAGUCCACCGAGUUGAUGGUGCUGCCGGGU